rnacentral:rRNA from 1 species
ACCCGCUGAACUUAAGCAUAUCAAUAAGCGGAGGAAAAGAAACCAACAGGGAUUGCCCCAGUAACGGCGAGUGAAGCGGCAACAGCUCAAAUUUGAAAUCUGGCCCCCUUCGGGAGCCCGAGUUGUAAUUUGGAGAGGAUGCUUUGGGCGCGGCGCCUUCCGAGUUCCUUGGAACAGGACGCCAGAGAGGGUGAGAGCCCCGUACGGUUGGACGCCUAGCCCGUGUAAAGCUCCUUCGACGAGUCGAGUAGUUUGGGAAUGCUGCUCAAAAUGGGAGGUAAAUUUCUUCUAAAGCUAAAUACUGGCCAGAGACCGAUAGCGCACAAGUAGAGUGAUCGAAAGAUGAAAAGCACUUUGAAAAGAGGGUUAAACAGCACGUGAAAUUGUUGAAAGGGAAGCGCCUGUGGCCAGACGCGCCGCCCACGGACCACCUGGCGCCUCCGCGCCAGGGCACGCCGCGGGCGGCGGGCCAGCAUCGGCUUCUCCAGGGGGACAAAGGUCGCGGGAAGGUAGCUCCUCCGGGAGUGUUAUAGCCCGCGGCGCCAUGCCUCUGGGGGGGCCGAGGACCGCGCCCUUCGGGGCAAGGAUGCUGGCGUAAUGGCCACCAGCGACCCGUCUUGAAACACGGACCAAGGAGUCAAGCAUUGGGGCGAGUGUUUGGGUGAAAAACCCGCACGCGAAAUGAAAGUAAACGCAGGUGGGAGCCCCUCGCGGGCGCACCACCGACCGAUCCUGAUGUCCUCGGAUGGAUUUGAGUAGGAGCCUUACCGCUUGGACCCGAAAGAUGGUGAACUAUGCCUGUAUAGGGUGAAGCCAGAGGAAACUCUGGUGGAGGCUCGCAGCGGUUCUGACGUGCAAAUCGAUCGUCAAAUAUGGGCAUGGGGGCGAAAGACUAAUCGAACCAUCUAGUAGCUGGUUACCGCCGAAGUUUCCCUCAGGAUAGCAGUGUUGUUCUUCAGUUUUAUGAGGUAAAGCGAAUGAUUAGGGACUCGGGGGCGCUAUUUUGCCUUCAUCCAUUCUCAAACUUUAAAUAUGUAAGAAGCCCUUGUUGCUUAGUUGAACGUGGGCCUUCGAAUGCACCAACACUAGUGGGCCAUUUUUGGUAAGCAGAACUGGCGAUGCGGGAUGAACCGAACGCGGGGUUAAGGUGCCGGAGUGGACGCUCAUCAGACACCACAAAAGGUGUUAGUACAUCUUGACAGCAGGACGGUGGCCAUGGAAGUCGGAAUCCGCUAAGGACUGUGUAACAACUCACCUGCCGAAUGUACUAGCCCUGAAAAUGGAUGGCGCUCAAGCGUCCCACCCAUACCCCGCCCUCAGGGCAGAAACAAGGCCCUGAGGAGUAGGCGGCCGUGGAGGUCCGUGACGAAGCCUGUGGCGUGAGCCUGGGUCGAACGGCCUCCAGUGCAGAUCUUGGUGGUAG